rnacentral:rRNA from 1 species
GCAUAUCAAUAAGCGGAGGAAAAGAACCCCGGGGGUGUAGCGGUAGCUACGGCGAGUGAAGCGGCAACAGCUCAAAUUUGAAAGCUGGCCUUCGGGUCCGCAUUGUAAUUUGUAGAGGAUGCUUUGGGUGAAACGCCAGUCUAAGUUCCUUGGAACAGGACGUCAUAGAGGGUGAGAAUCCCGUAUGUGACUGGAAAUGUUAACCUAUGUAAAGCUCCUUCGACGAGUCGAGUUGUUUGGGAAUGCAGCUCUAAAUGGGAGGUAAAUUUCUUCUAAAGCUAAAUAUUGGCGAGAGACCGAUAGCGCACAAGUAGAGUGAUCGAAAGAUGAAAAGCACUUUGGAAAGAGAGUUAAAAAGCACGUGAAAUUGUUGAAAGGGAAGCGCUUGCAAUCAGACUUGUUUAAACUGUUCGGCCGGUCUUCUGACCGGUUUACUCAGUUUGGACAGGCCAGCAUCAGUUUCGGCGGCCGGAUAAAGGCUCUGGGAAUGUGGCCUUCACUUCGGUGAAGGUGUUAUAGCCCAGGGUGUAAUACGGCCAGCCGGGACUGAGGUCCGCGCUUCGGCUAGGAUGCUGGCGUAAUGGUUGUAAGCGACCCGUCUUGAAACACGGACC